rnacentral:rRNA from 1 species
AACGAACGCUGGCGGCAGGCUUAACACAUGCAAGUCGAACGCAUCCUUCGGGGUGAGUGGCAGACGGGUGAGUAACGCGUGGGAACGUGCCCUUCAGUUCGGGAUAACCCAGGGAAACUUGGGCUAAUACCGGAUACGUGCGAGAGCAGAAAGAUUUAUCGCUGAAGGAUCGGCCCGCGUCUGAUUAGCUAGUUGGUGGGGUAAUGGCCCACCAAGGCGACGAUCAGUAGCUGGUCUGAGAGGAUGAUCAGCCACAUUGGGACUGAGACACGGCCCAAACUCCUACGGGAGGCAGCAGUGGGGAAUAUUGGACAAUGGGCGCAAGCCUGAUCCAGCCAUGCCGCGUGAGUGAUGAAGGCCUUCGGGUUGUAAAGCUCUUUCGCACACGACGAUGAUGACGGUAGUGUGAGAAGAAGCCCCGGCUAACUCCGUGCCAGCCGCCGCCGUAA